rnacentral:lncRNA from 1 species
AGCGGGAGUAGAUGUGACAGUUACUCAUCACAUGAGCGUGGUUCACCUAACCACUUACAUUACAUAGGUUAACUAAGUAAAACUGCACAAAUGUUUCUUUCUAAAUCCAGCUUUGGAGGCCAAACUGUGUACCAGAGAGAGGGAGGUGGAGCAGCUGAAGAGAGAUAAUGCAGUCUCAUCACUGCAACACCCCAACGUGCUCGGGAGAGGCAUGACCUGCCAAACCGCGCUACUUAACGCACGCCCACUUAACCCGGAAGCCAGCUGCACCAAUGUCUCAGAGAAAACCCAGUUCAACUGAUGACCAAAGUCAACCUGCUGGCUCCUGGCCCACCACAAGGAGUCAGACAGACCAAAAGUUUCCUUCUCUGCUGCUUUGACUCAUUCAGGAGGGGUAGGACCCUUCAAUACUGACACCACACUGAUCUACAGUAAAGUCUUCACCAACACUGGCAGGGCCUAGAACCCAACUACAGGCAUCUUCACAGCACCAGUGAGAGGAGAUCAUUGCCUUUGAAAACCGCACUGGGAAAGCCAUGGCUGUUUACCUUUACCACAAUGACGAGACGGAUGUUUAAUAAUGACACCAAUGAUCAGUAUUAUGAGUACAUAUCUAAUGCUUUGUCUCUAGAGCUGGAUGAGAGGGAUGGGGUCUACAUGCGUCUCCCUGCAGGCCGUGGACUCUAGGAUAAUAAUAAUAAUAACUUCACUACCUUCAGUGGCUUUCUUCUCUGCCCUAUGUGAAGGCAGCACCAUGCUGUAAUUAUCCUGUUUACAGAUGUGAACAGUUCUG